rnacentral:lncRNA from 1 species
GCCCCCUCCCAGGCUGUCAUCAAUUGGACAGCGCACUCCAUAUGCUCUCAGGCUGCCAGAACCAUAUCAUCUCCAACAUGAAAACUGAAAGCCAUAACAUUGCAGGCAGAAUGAUUACAAAAGCACUCAGCAAAGGCCCCGUGGGAGCAGGCCUGGUCUACACAGACAUAGGAAGCAAUUUUAAGCUUGCACAACACAACCUCCAACUCCC